rnacentral:rRNA from 1 species
UACGGAGGAUGCGAGCGUUAUCCGGAUUUAUUGGGUUUAAAGGGUGCGUAGGCGGGCUUUUAAGUCAGCGGUAAAAAUUCGGGGCUCAACCCCGUCCGGCCGUUGAAACUGGGGGUCUUGAGUGGGCGAGAAGAAGGCGGAAUGCGUGGUGUAGCGGUGAAAUGCAUAGAUAUCACGCAGAACCCCGAUUGCGAAGGCAGCCUUCCGGCGCCCUACUGACGCUGAGGCACGAAAGUGCGGGGGUCAAACAGG